GACGAACGCUGGCGGCGUGCUUAACACAUGCAAGUCGAACGGAAAGGCCCUGCUUUUGUGGGGUGCUCGAGUGGCGAACGGGUGAGUAACACGUGAGUAACCUGCCCUUGACUUUGGGAUAACUUCAGGAAACUGGGGCUAAUACCGGAUAGGAGCUCCUGCUGCAUGGUGGGGGUUGGAAAGUUUCGGCGGUUGGGGAUGGACUCGCGGCUUAUCAGCUUGUUGGUGGGGUAGUGGCUUACCAAGGCUUUGACGGGUAGCCGGCCUGAGAGGGUGACCGGCCACAUUAGGACUGAGAUACGGACCAGAGUCCUACGUGAGGCAGCAGUGGGGAAUAUUGCACAAUGGGCGGAAGCCUGAUGCAGCAACGCCGCGUGCGGGAUGACGGCCUUCGGGUUGUAAACCGCUUUCGCCUGUGACGAAGCGUGAGUGACGGUAAUGGGUAAAGAAGCACCGGCUAACUACGUG
rnacentral:rRNA from 1 species